AUGGUGGCUCAGGGCUUCCCGGGCAGAGACAGUGGCGGCGCCCUCAUUGAAGCGGCAACGCUGCCGGGGCCCCAGGCAGGCUUUCUUCCUGGCAGAGCCCCUCUCUGCACUGGAACAGACCCCGACUGCAGACGGCUCAGCUCCAUGACAGAGCGGGAUCCCUGCCUCCCUGUCUGCCGGCUGCUGCCCGGCCUGCCCAGAGCUCAUCGGAAUGUCCUCGCCUCGGUCUGCCUCAUUUCUCUCCAGCGCUUGGCUGGGGUCUGUUGGAGCAGGUGCUCAGUUAAUGCUGACGGAGAGAGGAAGGAACGUGCUGCCCACUGGCCACGCCCCACAAGCACUGGCUUGAGGGGUCAGCGUCCACUCCCCUCUCUGAUUCAAUGGAAGCAAAUUUCUUUGUGAUUUUUAAUCACAACUUUAUCGUAAUGAUGAUAAUUAUCGUGCUCCGCUGCAGCCGGGGCUGUGGAGGACAUCCACACACAGCCUGGUCACCCAAUCGUCUCAGCCCGGAGCCCACCUGGCUCCAAGGAGCAGCAGGUUUGCCGAGGCCCCCGCCCGCGCGGCGGAGGUGGGAGGUGUGCCUGGUGCCACCGUUGGCCUGAAUUGUGCCGCUGGGACCUGGGCGGCCAGAGGGCAGCGGGACCAUGUCGCAGGGGUGUGGUUGUGUGGUGUGCCUGCGUAGGGGCCUGCAUGCUCAUCUAGGCCCCGACAUGAGGGUGGUAGUCCCUCCAACAGUCAGGGGCUGACACCUCUGCAGGGCUGGACGCAGGUGGCAGGCGGGGCAGAGGGCAAGGCAGAGAGCGGCGGCCGCCCUCGGGUGCCUGUGAGCCCGCGCCGCCCAUCCUGUGAGGUCUGGACCAGGGCAGCUGAGAGCUCACCCCUGCCCCCGCCUCCGAGCUUCAGCAAAUCCUGGAGGGUUGGCCUUCACAUAUGCCCAGGGUCUGACCGCUUCCUUCCAGCCACUGUCCACCCCGGGCCGAACUCUGGCAGCUCUCACCUGGACCGUGGCCACAGCCACCAGCCUGGCCUCCCAGGCCCUGCCAUCUGUCCUCCCCCGGCAGCCACAGGGAUCCUGUCUAACCUCAGACUCAGGCACCCUGCUCCCUGGGAUUGGCCUGUGCCUCUCACGGUAAGUGCGUCACUCAGGGCCUCACAAGCCCCUCCCCAUCACCUCUGACCUUGCCUCCUACUCCAGGCCCCUUUGCUCCCUUAGUCCGGGGCGGUUCCCCAGAGUGUCACCUCCUCCCUGUGGUAGCCCUGCAUUCCCUCUUGUAGCCCAGUGGCUAGUUCCCUUCCCACUCAAGUGUUCAGCCAGAGACCUCCCCUCCCCAGCACCCCUGCCCUCUGGGCAGCUCCCUUCUCUCUCUCUUCUCUGUGUCACCUGUGCCCUCUAACGCACGAGGCAACCAGCUCGUCCUUUGUGCCGUCUGUCUCCGCCAGUGGACGUCAGCAUGCGAGGACCAGGAUUCCUGCCUGUUUUGGUCCAAGAGCCUAGAAGAGGGCCCGGUGAUGCAGGAAGCCCGUGGGACAGAGCCUCUCCUCGCACUGGCCUGGGGCGGAGCUUCCUGAGUUUCCAGGGAGGGAGGUCUGGAGUGAAGCUCUGAAGGGCCCCCAUCCCAGCUGCUUAUAAGUAGGCAGCUACCAAGCUGCUCUCCUGCUCAAGAACCUUCUGUGGCUCCUCUGCACCAACAGAGUAAGGCCAGAACAUUCUCCAAGCGUUGAGGGCCUCGAGGGCCUUGGUCCUCUCAACCCCACCAGGUUCCCAUUCCCCACCCGGGCUGUGCCUCAAACCCCGUGUGCCCUGCUCAUCAGGCUGGCUGAGCCCCUGAGAUGCAGCCACAGGCACCUUCGCAAACAUAGCUCAGCUACCUCCUGUCACCUCUCUCUUUUCAAGGCUCAACAUAAGCCCUGUCUUCUAGAGGACGCAUCCCAAGACCCUGGUCCACGGGGCUGGCCUCUCAGAUGCUCCUGCAUGACGUCGCCGGGGCCUGCAGGGCCCGGGAUGAAGCGGACCCCAUUCCAACCACAAGAGCUCUUAAUCCCGUGGGUUCGAUUCAGCGGGCGUCUCUCGUCCCCCCUGUGUCACCUCAUUUCAUCCUCCCGUUAAACCUCAGCCCAGCCCUGCAGGGAGUGUGCUGUUGGUGCCCAUUUCACAGGUGAGGGAACCGAGGCUCAGAGAGAUAUGGCAGGUGGUGGAAGGUGCCCAGCUCUGGCUAUCCCCAAGUGUCGGCGGCUGCUCGUGCGUGGCUCGUCCCACCAAACGCUGAGCUUCACCAGGGUUGUGCUGCUUUCAGAGCCCCAUUGUCAUGGUGGAUACAUUCGGCUGUCCCAGCUGCCACAGAGGGAGAAUUGCCUCUCCAACAUUGAGUGACUUAUGUGAGAUGUCAACACGCCACCUAGGAGAAUAGAGAAACACCAGCAACGCCGCUUUAAUUACUCUUCUCAGAUGAGGUAAUGAUCGUUAAUGUGCACUGGAUCUCAUUAAUUAACUCUCUGUCUUUAAUUAACUUCUUGCCUAUUUCACCUGACAUAAUAUAUUAUCACAAAUGUCAACUUUGCAGAAUGUUUCCCUCUUGGAACAAAAUAAGAGACGUCAAAUAAAUGUUGCAUUUCUGAUGCUGUACA
rnacentral:lncRNA from 1 species